rnacentral:rRNA from 1 species
AGUGGGGAAUCUUGGACAAUGGGGGAAACCCUGAUCCAGCCAUGCCGCGUGAUCGAUGAAGGCCUUAGGGUUGUAAAGAUCUUUCAGCUGGGAAGAUAAUGACGGUACCAGCAGAAGAAGCCCCGGCUAACUCCGUGCCAGCAGCCGCGGUAAUACGGAGGGGGCUAGCGUUGUUCGGAAUUACUGGGCGUAAAGCGCACGUAGGCGGAUCAGUCAGUCAGGGGUGAAAUCCCGGGGCUCAACCCCGGAACUGCCUUUGAUACUGCUGAUCUGGAGGAUGAGAGAGGCGAGUGGAAUUCCGAGUGUAGAGGUGAAAUUCGUAGAUAUUCGGAGGAACACCAGUGGCGAAGGCGGCUCGCUGGCUCAUUUCUGACGCUGAGGUGCGAAAGCGUGGGGAGCAAA